rnacentral:rRNA from 1 species
AAGGCGCGCGAUACAGGGUGACAGCCCCGUACACAAAAAUGCACAUAUUGUGAGCUCGAUGAGUAGGGCGGGACACGUGGUAUCCUGUCUGAAUAUGGGGGGACCAUCCUCCAAGGCUAAAUACUCCUGACUGACCGAUAGUGAACCAGUACCGUGAGGGAAAGGCGAAAAGAACCCCGGCGAGGGGAGUGAAAAAGAACCUGAAACCGUGUACGUACAAGCAGUGGGAGCCUCUUUUAUGGGGUGACUGCGUACCUUUUGUAUAAUGGGUCAGCGACUUAUAUUCUGUAGCAAGGUUAACCGAAUAGGGGAGCCGAAGGGAAACCGAGUCUUAACUGGGCGUUAAGUUGCAGGGUAUAGACCCGAAACCCGGUGAUCUAGCCAUGGGCAGGUUGAAGGUUGGGUAACACUAACUGGAGGACCGAACCGACUAAUGUUGAAAAAUUAGCGGAUGACUUGUGGCUGGGGGUGAAAGGCCAAUCAAACCGGGAGAUAGCUGGUUCUCCCCGAAAGCU